rnacentral:rRNA from 1 species
UACGAAGGGUGCAAACGUUGCUCGGAAUUAUUGGGCGUAAAGCGCACGUAGGCGGCAUUGCAAGUCGGAUGUGAAAUCCCUCGGCUUAACCAAGGAAGUGCAUCCGAAACUGCAGUGCUUGAGUACUUAAGAGGAUCGCGGAAUUCCCGGUGUAGAGGUGAAAUUCGUAGAUAUCGGGAGGAACACCAGUGGCGAAGGCGGCACUCUGGGCCGAUACUGACGCUGAGGAGCGAAAGCGUGGGGAGCGAACAGG